rnacentral:misc_RNA from 1 species
GAUGAAGAACGUAGCGAAAUGCGAUACGUAAUGUGAAUUGCAGAAUUCAGUGAAUCAUCGAAUCUUUGAACGCAUAUUGCGCCUUCUGGUAUUCCGGAAGGCAUGCUUGUUUGAGUAUCAGUAACAACCUCAACUCCUUUUCAAUCGUGUUAUGCGUGAGGGAAGGGGUUGGAUUUGAGCAUAUCCACCGGGCCACAUUGGCUUGAGGGAUGCUUGAAAUGGAGGUUCGGCCGACAGUGCCUGGGCUACAAGCAUUUCAAUAAGCGGAGGA